GGUGCUGCGAGCCUUUGCCCGGGAUCGUCGCGGCGAUCGGAGUGCGAGGGUCUGUUUGAUCAAACGUUUUGUUACCGCUGUAGCUGUCGGUGACACUACUGCGUUGGAAAUGUAAGGAUCCGGCGUUUUGUAAUGCUGAACUGCAGUUGGGGAGAGAACCACUAUUUCCAGCGAGGAUGUUCUGUGCCAAAUGGAUGUUAACAAAAAUGUUCACAGUUUAAGUGUUUCCAGAUCUGCCAACAGAAUGUUUAAGCAAAAUAUCGCCUGUGAGUUUGAAAAUCCAGUUAGGAUGCCUUUCAAGUUACACUUGAAAACAUGCAGGUAGGAGUUUCUGCUGUAAGGUCGCAGAGAUGACCUUGGUGAACACAUCGCACAAGUGCUGCCUGUCACAGUACUAUUUUAGUGUCUUCCACAUGAAAAAAAACCACCAUAAAAGCAAAACCACAUCUCUACAAUGCAGUCCUUCAUACUGAAACUCUAAAUAUUUCCAUUAAGGUUCCGUAUAAAGCAAUAGUGUCAGGUUUUGGUCAAUAGCCUAGAAAAUAUGAAAUGGGAAUUGGUGUUGGAUGAAUAUGGAUAGCACCAACACAGGUGUGCAAGGCUUGGACAACACCACGUGGGAGCACAGAAGUGUGUGUGUGGCAUUGGAGACACACAUAUCUCUUGCUUCUGGAGAAAUCUCACUGCAGUUACAACAGAUAAAAGCAUACAUGCAUUUUGUGUAUGCUGGCAUGUCUGUUUGGUGCAUCCCAAGCGACUGGGUUAGAAUCCCUUCUGCUGGCACAGAUCUGUAGCAGAGCUGAACUGCCCACACUGUGCUGCUGCUGUGGCUGUCCUUGGCCCUUUUCAGUUGGGCAAACAACACAUGAGGUUUGAAUACAGGGAUAGGAAUCGAAAGCCUUUGUAUCCUUCAGACCGGUAUCUCCUGUCUUCCAGGGAAGAAAUUCAUAAUAAUUAAUGGAAAUCUAAGCAAAAUCUUUGGUGCAGAAAGUUCUAAUCCUUUGCUCCUCAGAAACACCUUCCCCCAAACUCCUGAUCUUAUUACUCCAACAUCAUCUAGUACAAGGAUUCAGAAAAUAAACAUUUUUUAAUGCUAGUAUUAGGUGAUGGUAGAGGACUUUUCUGCUGGCCAGGAUUUGUUACAGUGAAUUCAUCUGGUUUUCAGGGAGGCCCAAGGAGAAUAACAGCCACAUCACGCAGGGGAUUGUUCCUACUACACGAGCACGUCGUUUCAUAGAGCACAGGACAUGAGCACCAUUCUAUUCAAUGUCAGUAAAUGGGCUUCUUAACAUUUUCCUUUAUGUUAGUAGGUUAAGAAGCUCUUCAAAGUACUUGCUACUCUCACUGUAAGACAACAUCAGCUCCAUGUGUAGAAAUGGCAGCGAUGUCACCAUGCUCAGAGUGGGUUGUGGCUCCUCAUGCUCUGUUCUGUAUUCCUCUGUGAGAAUUGUAUGGUCCAUCUACCCAUAAUAAAAAAAGCAAGGGCUAACGGAAGCCAUAUAUGACAAGGAUACAAUGGAUAAUAAUGACAUGCACCAGAUGAUGCAUUGCUGUGUAAAGCUCUAGUUCAGGUGAGUGACUUAAGGCUUCUCUUUGAAGGGCCAGGAACAAGGACCCGAGGCUCGCUCAGGCAGCGUGGCCCAAAUAGGCCGCAGUAUCUGAAAUACUUUUAGAAAGCUGGAAACAAGGCAGACAAUGCCUGGAUGCAGAGCAGGGUCACUGCAUUUCCUUUGGCCCAGCCCAUCAUGAGCAAUGACUUCUCACAUAGAAUUAACAGAAAUACCGGUGGCUGCUUCUACUAUUUCCUCUUCUAAUGCUGAAGUUGCGCUCUACCAGCUGUGCUAUUGAAUGCUGGCAGGUAUGUUCAGGCUGUUGGAUGACUGCUUCUGAGAUCUGAAAAACAUCUGUUAUCUUUUGAUUUUUAGGGGCUUUUUUUUUUUUUUUGUUUUCUGUUAAGGAUUAGGUUCACAUAAAAUUUGAAGGACAGAACAGAAAUACAAGAUUGAAUAUCCUGGUCAAUUGUAUCAUAUCUGCCUCCACAAAUUACUGUCCUGGUCUAGCAGCCCUGCAGACAUGUUUGAAACACGAGUUGGACAGCUUUAUGCUUUGCUUUGGAAGCCCAGCACGUUUUGCUGUGCUGUUUUUAAGUCAGCUGAGGAUUCGAUCUGCAACGCAGAACAACCAUCUCUCAGAACUACCACUGUGUUUGUUCAGAUAACAUCACAUUUGUAACCUUUUAGAACUGCUGUUCCCCUUGCUUUGAGAGUCAUGAUAUGAGCAUAUUGCUGUUAGCAGGGUACUGUAGUGUUAAGCUUUUGAGAAAAGAACCUCACUGACCACAGAAGAGCUUCUCACUCCCGGCUUUGCAUCUGCUAAGUGGCACAGAGUAACAUGGGGACAAGUCAUACCAGGACCACCCUGCCUGCAUUCUGGCUCCAGCUGUGGCAGGCGAUGCCAUUUGGGAGCACACAUAAACUUGGCCAAAAUCUGCAGUGCUCCCUUUGUGCUUUCCGCAUCCCCAGUGGAAGAACUAGAGAUGUUAGAGGGCAUGGUGCUGCCCGGCCCUGUAGCAGCUGCUUUCCAGUUCCUUCUCCCAGCCCCUUAAACCUGAAAUGAGCUGGUCCUUCCCCUGGAUCUUUGCAGUUUAGUCUUUCUUGUCUAACCCCCUUUGCUACACCUUGGUCUUCCUGAGAUAUGGGAACCAGAAGUGCACAUAGUACUCAUGAUGCGGGCACACAGUGGCUUUUAUGGUACUCACCAUCUUCUCAGUGCCCUUCAUGAUGAUGUCCAAAGUUUUCUUGGCUUUUUUGUGUGCCACAGCUGAGAUACUGAGCUCAGGGAGUUGGUGGUGGUGAUGCCUAGCUGUAGUUGUCAGCUCCAACCUAUGUCACAUAGGCAGGUCUUGAUUUUUUCUCUCUAAUUGGAUUAUACUACAUCAUCAAAGGUCACCUGCCCUUUUUUGCUCACUCAGUGUUAUGAGGUCCUCCUGGAGUUCUUUGCUGUCAGUGCAGCACCUGAGCACCUCAAACAGUUGAUUGAUUGAUUGAUUUACUUUUGAAAGAAACAGAUGGUAUGGUGCUGUAUCUAACAUACACAGACUUCUCUGUUCAGUGUGGGUCUGGAGGGUUACUAUGUAUUUGUUAUGUGUUCUUUUUUAAACAGAUUCAUUGAACACCUGAAAUGGAUUAUGACCAGGUUAAUGGAUCAAGUUAUGGAAAGAAACUGUACUCUGAAGUGUAGAGGUGAAAAGAAGGACAAGGGGACAAUGAGAAGAGUUGUUAUCAGACCUUGUCAGCUGUGACUUUUUCCUCAUGACCAUUGCCUCUUGAGUGUGCACUACCUGCUGUGAUUCAUGUACAGUACUGGGCUUCCAUAGGUAAUUCGGGGAUGGACUCUGUGAACAAAUAAUAUAAGCUAUGUUCUCUUACAAAAAAAAUCAACAUAUUACUCAGAUUUGAUAAACUUUUCAAUAAAUACCAUUUCACCUGAAUGGACACACUGUACAUGCUGCUUAAGCAAGUUUUGCAUUCACACAUUGAAAACUCUACCAGCCAAUAGCUCCACAUCUGUGCUUUCUCAGGGGAACACAUCAGGAGUGCCGCAGGGUUCUGUUCAGGGCAGUAUUAUGACAAGAAGUGCACUAGUAAGAGACUUUAUUUAAAUUGCAAGCUUUGAAACAGAUCAGAGACUGACUUUUGUUAGGUGGAUUCAUUAUCUAACAAGAUAAUUUGCAGAUUAAGUUCAUGUUCCUAUGUACAGAUCUGAAAGCAAUACAAUAAAGAUUGACCUUUUCCAUGAAAGAGUAA